rnacentral:rRNA from 1 species
UACGGAGGGUGCGAGCGUUGUCCGGAAUCACUGAGCGUAAAGGGCGCGUAGGCGGCGCGGGGAGUCAACGGUGAAAGCUCGGCGCUCAACGCCGAGUCGGCCGUCGAUACUCCCGUGCUCGAGCACUGUAGAGGCAGGUGGAAUUCCGGGUGUAGCGGUGGAAUGCGUAGAGAUCCGGAAGAACACCAGUGGCGAAGGCGGCCCGCUGGGCAGUGGCUGACGCUGAGGCGCGACAGCGUGGGGAGCAAACAGG